UAUCCAACAGGAUUAGAGACCCUGGUAGUUCCUACCUUAAACGAUGCCGACAGGAGUUUGUCAUUUGUUAAUGGCAGAAUCUUUGGAGAAAUCAUAGUUCUUGGGCUCUGGGGGAACUACGACCGCAAGGCUGAAACUUGAAGGAAUUGACGGAAGGGCACACCAGGGGUGGAGCCUGUGGCUUAAUUUGAAUCAACACGGGGAAACUUACCAGGACCAGAUGUUUUUUAUGACUGACAGGCUUCGGGUCUUUCAGGAUAUUGUUUUUGGUGGUGCAUGGCCGUUGGUGGUGCGUGGGUUGACCUGUCUAGCGUUGAUUCAGCUAACGAGCGAGAUUAUCGCCAAUUAUUUACUUUGCCGAAGUCCUUCGGUUAAAGUUCUAAUUGGGACUCCCUGCGAUUUUAGCAGGUGGAAGAGGGUAGCAAUAACAGGUCCGUGAUGCCCUUUAGAUGCUCUGGGCUGCACGCGUGCUACAAUGUUAGGAUCAAUAGGACUGCGAGCCUGAGAGGGUGCGCUACUCUUAUAAUCCCUAACGUAGUUGGGAUUGACGUUUGUAAUCAGCGUCAUGAACCAGGAAUCCCUUGUAAAUGUGUGUCAACAACGCACGUUGAAUACGUCCCUGCCCUUUGUACACACCGCCCGUCGCUCCUACCGAUUGGAUGACUCGGUGAAAUCACCGGAUGCUUACGAGCAGAAAGUGAUUAAAUCACGUUAUAUAGAGGAAGGAGAAGUCGUAACAAGGUAACGGUAGGUGAACCUGCCGUUGGAUCAGUU
rnacentral:ncRNA from 1 species